rnacentral:tRNA from 1 species
CGGGGCGUGGCGCAGUCUGGUAGCGCGCUUGCAUGGGGUGUAAGAGGUCGUGGGUUCGAAUCCCGCCGCCCCGA